UACGAAGGGGGGCUAGCGUUGCUCGGAAUCACUGGGCGUAAAGCGCACGUAGGCGGCUUUUUAAGUCAGAGGUGAAAUCCCUGGAGCUCAACUCCAGAACUGCCUUUGAUACUGGAGAGCUUGAGUCCGGGAGAGGUGAGUGGAACUGCGAGUGUAGAGUGAAAUUCGUAGAUAUUCGCAAGAACACCAGUGGCGAAGGCGGCUCACUGGCCCGGUACUGACGCUGAGGUGCGAAACGUGGGGACAACAGGAUUAAGAU
rnacentral:rRNA from 1 species